GAACCUUUUCUCUAUGUCCUCCUGUUGUUGUUUUACUGCAUUUUCAUCCAGUGCCGUGUUGAUUGUAAAACACCUAAACAACAAACUGUGUUAAUAUUAAAUUACUGUGGGGGGAUAAAAUACGAUUUAUAAACUUCAAAUAAAAACACCACCAAAAUCUGAGUAUUUAUGAGUAGUUUCUCAAAACAAACUCUCUCAAUGCAAUAACGUGACGUUGCUGACGCUGUCGCUCCUUGAUUGGUCGGCACGAUGUUAGCAUGUUAGCCUGUUAGCUAACCUUCGCAGUAUUGUUUUGAUGUUGUAAACAGCUUGUAGUUAGUUAGCAGUCCACCUCUGGACUACAUGAAGCUGUUGUGUGAUUUAUGCUGUAUUUUCUCACAACGUGAGUUUAAAGUCAACUUCGUCAUCGUGCUUCAUGAUGAUCAUCUGAUCACAGAGAACUGAACCCGGAGGUUUCAGCACUGAGAUAAGUUCACUGGGGACCUGUUAGCUUUCACCUUCUCUGCAACACACAGGACUGAACAUUUACAAACCACAAACACCUCUGUGCUGUUUACCUGUGAAACCAGAAGAAUAAUGCUAAUCUACAGUGUCUCUGAUAGGAAAUGGAUUAUGUGAAUUAAAAAAGCCCUGCAGGGUUUUCCCUCAUAAAUAGAUGGAUAUAAUGAAUAUGACCUAAACUGUUUGAUAUAGUUUAUUAUUUUGUUUUAUUGUCAUAAACAUCAUAUUUUAAUGGACAUUUUGGCAUUUUACCUGUGAAGUUAUACAAUAACAAUUAUUAAAGAGUUCACAAUGUACCAGGAGUUUCAGGUUGUCUGUCAAUCAGUGAACCAAGAACCAUAAACUGUGUCACUGAAUGUUAUUAUUCAAAGUAUGAAGACGGAUCAAGGUUCACUUAUUGUACUGGCUUUUUCCAUCAUUGCACAGUCUAUCAGCAGAUGGAGUUUGCUCAGUUCAGUCGUUAUGGAGAUUCAUCCUAACAACUACUGACAACUGUGUAAACUCAAUCAGCUGAUGAAUGUAUGAUAUGGUUGAAAGUGCCAGGAAAAAGUUUGUAAGUGGACCUUGAGUUAGGAUUGUAUUGUUGAAUAACUAGGAAUGACAUUUUCAAAAUUAAAGGAAUAAUUAAACAUUUGAGGAAAUGUUUUCUUGCCAAGAGUUUGAUGAGAAGAUCUAUAUCACUCCAUUUAUCUGUUAAAUAUGAAGCUACAGCCAGGAGAUGUGUAGCAUAGCAUAAGAGUAAAACAAGGGGAACAGCUAGCCUGGCUCUGUCUGAAAAA